UGUUCCAUAGUAUAAUGGUAGUACAUAAGAUUUUGGUUCUUAGAGUACAGGUUCGACUCCUGUUGGAACAA
rnacentral:tRNA from 1 species